rnacentral:lncRNA from 1 species
UUUAAUCCUAAAACACUAAGGAUUCACGCUAAGGAUUAGCUAAAAUCCAGCGUUGCACAUGCUCUUAGCAGUUUUUUAAUAAGGUUAUAUGUUAAGUGAUCCAAACUAAGGACAUUAAAAAAUUUGGUAGAUUAUUAGUGGGAUUUUGCUGGUCCCUUAGGUUAUUAUUUAAUUAAUUUAUUAUUUUAAUAAUGAAUAACAUAUAAAAAGAAGUUUAAAAUAAAACAUAUAAAAGAGAAGUUUAACAUUAAAAUUGAAAUCUUAAGAAAAUUACAAAGUUGGAAAAAAAAUACCGAACAUCAUAAUAAAAAAAACACACACACAAACAUUUAUUCCAAUACAAAUGACAUGAGAUAUUUAAAUCUUUACGAAUCAAACUCUAAACUAUUAGUCUAUACAAAUCAAAUCUAUACAAAUGACAUGAACUUAUUUUCACAGAUUGGAACUUGCACACAUAUCAAACUCUAAACCAGUUAAAGAAUUGAUCUCGAACCAUAUAAAUCUAUACGAACUAUCAUACAGUUGUUCAAAUCUAUACUAAACAAUCGAACAUAGAAAUUUGAACCGAACAAGGAUGU